UACGUAGGGUCCGAGCGUUGUCCGGAAUCAUUGGGCGUAAAGAGCGUGUAGGCGGCCCGAUAAGUCCGCCGUGAAAGCCCAGGGCUCAACCCUGGGAUGCCGGUGGAUACUGUCGGGCUAGAGUUCGGAAGAGGCAAGUGGAAUUCCUGGUGUAGCGGUGAAAUGCGCAGAUAUCAGGAGGAACACCUAUGGCGAAGGCAGCUUGCUGGGACGACACUGACGCUGAGACGCGAAAGCGUGGGGAGCAAACAGG
rnacentral:rRNA from 1 species